rnacentral:piRNA from 1 species
CACAGAGUCCUUUGCCAAAGA